AGGACGAACGCUGGCGGCGUGCUUAACACGUGCAAGUCGAGCGGAAAGGCCCUUCGGGGUACUCGAGCGGCGAACGGGUGAGUAACACGUGAGCAAUCUGCCCUUAGCUUCGGGAUAGCCCCGGGAAACCGGGAUUAAUACCGAAUACGACCUCGGCCGACAUCGGCCUUGGUGGAAAGUUUUUCGGCUAGGGAUGAACUCGCGGCCUAUCAGCUUGUUGGUGGGGUAAUAGCCUACCAAGGCGACGACGGGUAGCCGGCCUGAGAGGGCGACCGGCCGCACUGGGACUGAGACACGGCCCAGACUCCUACGGGAGGCAGCAGUGGGGAAUAUUGCGCAAUGGGCGAAAGCCUGACGCAGCGACGCCGCGUGGGGGAUGAAGGCCUUCGGGUUGUAAACCCCUUUCAGCAGGGACGAAGCGAGAGUGACGGUACCUGCAGAAGAAGCGCCGGCUAACUACGCGCCAGCAGCCGC
rnacentral:rRNA from 1 species